UGAAUACGAGACGCUAAGGCGUUGAAGUAGUGUAUGUCAUACUUCCAAGAAAAGCUUGCACUGUCAUAGAUAAAAAACGCCUGUACCAUAACCGACACAGGUGGGUAGGUAGAGUAUACUAAGGGGCGCGAGAUAACUCUCUCUAAGGAACUCGGCAAAAUAACUCCGUAACUUCGGGAGAAGGAGUGCCUUAUUUAUAAGGCUGCAAUAACAAGAUCCAAGCAACUGUUUAUCAAAAACACAGGUCUCCGCUAAGUCGUAAGACGAUGUAUGGGGGCUGACGCCUGCCCAGUGCCAGAAGGUUAAAGAAGUUGGUUAGCAAUAGCGAAGCUGAUAACUGAAGCCCUGGUGAACGGCGGCCGUAACAAUAACGGUCCUAAGGUAGCGAAAUUCCUUGUCGGGUAAGUUCCGACCCGCACGAAAGGCGUAAUGAUUUGGAUACUGUCUCGGAGAGGGGCUCGGUGAAAUAGACUUGUCUGUGAAGAUGCGGACUACCUGCACCAGGACAGAAAGACCCUAUGAAGCUUUACUGUAACUUGAAAUUGAAAUUGGACUUUAUUCGCGCAGUAUAGGUGGGAGGCGUUGAUUGUAAUCUUGCGGGAUUAUUGGAGCCAUCAGUGAGAUACCACCCUUGUAAUGUUAGAUUUCUAACUUUGAAUCAUUAUCUGGUCAAAGAACAGUUUCAGGCGGGCAGUUUGACUGGGGCGGUCGCCUCCUAAACGGUAACGGAGGCGUACAAAGGUUUCCUCUGAACGGUUAGAAAUCGUAUCUAGAGUGUAAAGGCAUAAGGAAGCUCGACUGUGAGACCUACAAGUCGAGCAGGGACGAAAGUCGGUCUUAGUGAUCUGACGGUACUGAGUGGAAAGGCCGUCACUCAACGGAUAAAAGUUACCCUAGGAUAACAGGCUGAUCUCCCCCAAGAGUUCACAUCGACGGGGAGGUUUGGCACCUCGAUGUCGGCUCAUCGCAUCCUGGGGCGGUAGUACGUCCCAAGGGUUGGGCUGUUCGCCCAUGAAAGCGGUACGCGAGCUGGGUUCAGAACGUCGUGAGACAGUUCGGUCCAUAUCCGGUGUAGGCGUUAGAAUAUUGAGAGGAGCCUUCUUUAGUACGAGAGGACCGAGAAGGACAUACCUCUGGUGUACCAGUUAUCGUGCCAACGGUAAACGCUGGGUAGCUAUGUAUGGAGUGGAUAACCGCUGAAAGCAUCUAAGUGGGAAGCCCACCUCAAGAUAAGUAUUCUCC
rnacentral:rRNA from 1 species